rnacentral:rRNA from 1 species
UGGGGAAUUUUGGACAAUGGGCGAAAGCCUGAUCCAGCCAUUCCGCGUGAGUGAAGAAGGCCUUCGGGUUGUAAAGCUCUUUCGCAAGGGAAGAAAACUUAUAUUCUAAUAAAGUAUGAGGAUGACGGUACCUUGAUAAGAAGCACCGGCUAACUACGUGCCAGCAGCCGCGGUAAUACGUAGGGUGCGAGCGUUAAUCGGAAUUACUGGGCGUAAAGCGUGCGCAGGCGGUUUUGAAAGUCAGAUGUGAAAUCCCCGAGCUCAACUUGGGAACUGCGUUUGAAACUCCAAAGCGAGAGUAUAGGAGAGGGGGGUAGAAUUCCACGUGUAGCAGUGAAAUGCGUAGAGAUGUGGAGGAAUACCAAUGGCGAAGGCAGCCCCCUGGCCUAAUACUGACGCUCAUGCACGAAAGCGUGGGGAGCAAACA